rnacentral:rRNA from 1 species
UACGAAGGGUGCAAGCGCUAAUCGGAAUUACUGGGCGUAAAGCGUGCGUAGGCGGUUUGUUAAGUCUGCUGUGAAAUCCCCGGGCUCAACCUGGGAAUGGCAGUGGAUACUGGCAAGCUAGAGUGUGUCAGAGGAUGGUGGAAUUCCCGGUGUAGCGGUGAAAUGCGUAGAGAUCGGGAGGAACAUCAGUGGCGAAGGCGGCCAUCUGGGACAACACUGACGCUGAGGCACGAAAGCGUGGGGAGCAAACAGG